rnacentral:rRNA from 1 species
GGCCGCGGUAAUACAGAGGGGGCAAGCGUUAUCCGUAGUUACUGGGCGUAAAGGGCCCGCAGGUGGCUGGCGCAGUGGGGUGUGAAAGCCGCAGGCUUAACCUGCGGAGGCCAUCCCAAACUCGUCGGCUCGAGCACGGCAGAGGGUGGUGGAAUUGCCGGUGUAGUGGUGAAAUGCGUAGAGAUCGGCAGGAACACCAAGGGCGGAAGCAGCCACCUGGGCCGUCGCUGACACUGAGGGGCGAAAGCGUGGGGAGCGAAC